UUGUUUUAUUUUGAAGUGUUCGGGGGAGGGGCUGAGCAGGCUUGCAAAGCUGAAGGAAGUUGUGGAGAUAAGAUGGUGAAAUUUAAAGACAGGAAUACAGGUUUGAAUCUCCCUUGCUUUGGGAGUUGGGAAGCAAAUGUAGAUUAACGAGGAUGAGUGAUAGAGUGCAGGACAGGAAAUGUGUGUCAGAGUUGCUGGUGUGAAUCAGCUUCUAGGUCAUGGAUGUCUGAAGGUCUCUGCAUACGCACUUAUGUGUGAGGGGAGAAUGCAUUUCCAGAUUGCAGAUAAAGAAACUACAGCUAUAGUAUUGCAGCCGGUCAAAAUGUAAGGCAAGAUUUUCUGGGUUUCCAUCAUUCGCAAUAUUUCGUUUUUCCAAAGCAAUUUUACAGUGAUCAAUCAUGUCAGUUUAGCUUGUGUGACUGGAGCCAUCUUCAAAAGCCAUUCAUCCAAACCCUUGAUGGUGAAUUCAGUGAUGUGUUAUCCCUUCAUUUCACUGUUUGAAGGUCAGCCUGCAAGAGAUGAAGAGCAGAGGCUUGUAGGAUCCUACAUAUAGCAUGGGGGGAGUCUUGUGGUGCAGUGGACAGCGUCGCUGCCUUUGAUUCCGAAGCUCUGGGUUCGAGCCUCACCCCAGGACUUGAUGACCAAGGAAGAUGCACUCGUAAGAUAGCCACAUAGGUUGAAUGUCCAUCUGCAAAUCCUUCCAACACAUGCCAAUGGCGUAUGCCAUGUGAUGAGAAGAAACCUGGAGUCUCUACCAUCACUAUCCAUAGCUCCAGACUACAAUGUGAAUGUAAAAGUACAUGUUGCCACAGCAACUUGGACUCCCUGAGUAAACUGUAACACACCAGCAGCACAAACAGCAUGACAUUGGCCCCACUGAUAAUAACUCAAACUGUGCACAAUAAAAUGGAUUGGUGACAAUUAGAGCACAUGUACGCUUCAUUGUAACUGUGCCUGCCUCACAGAGACUGCAGAUUUUCAGGGUGGAUGACAGGUUCUGGGAUGGAGGCUAACGGCUAACAAGUGAAGCUUUACUUGCAGUUCCUAUGUGACACAAAAAGAUUGGUUUGAAGAACAGCUUUGGUAAACAUGUUGGAAAAUUAGUACAAAGGGCUGGAUUUUCGUGGAAUCAGGGAGAUCUGGCAGACCUUUAAAAAUAGCAGUCAGGACCAUCCCAGGAUUCCCAGUACUCUCCAAUUUACAGCAGUGUGGGCUAAGGGUGCAGGUUGCUGUGGGUCACUAGGCUGCACCCUGCACUCCUGACCUGGAUGGCUGCAUUACCAGGAUAGGCGUAUCCUAGUUGCCCACAAUUUUCAUGGACUCGGGCCAGUUUUUCAAUGAGUUGUGGUUCACGGCCCCUCCGGGUAAUUUCAAAGGUAAUUUAAAAAGAUCAUACUCAUGCCCCCUUGCUAACCUAUGCCCCUCCAUCCACCCCCAUGGCCUCUCAAACCCUCCAUACCAACCUAUGCCCCUCUACCCACCCCCUCAUACACUCCAAGCAACUUAUGCUCAUACACUGACUCCUCCAAUGGCUCCUCAUGGACAAGAAUGUAUAAUGAGACUUGGCUGAGAGCCCAGACAUCCAUUAGUCUGUUGAAACAGCUGUGCUAAAGGUAAAACGUUACUGGAAUGGCAGCUCUUUCUCUGUGACCUGUUCUGUUAAUUUCACAAUGUUUAUUUACAUAAGAUAAAGAGGUGUCAAGUAUUGAUAGUUUCUAUUAUUGAUACUGUAAAGGUCUGUAUGACUGACACUUUUAUAAGGUUGUAGUAAAAGCACUUUUAAAAAAGAAAA